GAUGAACGCUGGCGGCGUGCCUAAUACAUGCAAGUCGAGCGAACAGACGAGGAGCUUGCUCCUCUGACGUUAGCGGCGGACGGGUGAGUAACACGUGGAUCACCUACCUAUAAGACUGGGAUAACUUCGGGAAACCGGCGCUAAUACCGGAUAAUAUAUUGAACCGCAUGGUUCAAUAGUGAAAGACGGUUUUGCUGUCACUUAUAGAUGGAUCCGCGCCGCAUUAGCUAGUUGGUAAGGUAACGGCUUACCAAGGCAACGAUGCGUAGCCGACCUGAGAGAGGGAUAGCCCACACUGGAACUGAGACACGGUCCAGAGUCCUACGGGAGGCAGCAGUAGGGAAUCGGCCGCAAUGGGCGAGAGCUUGACGGAGCAAGGCCGCGUGAGAGAUGAAGGUCUUGGGAUCGUAAAACUCUGUUAUUAGGGAAGAACAGAUGUGUAAGGAACUAUGCACGUCUUGACGGUAACUAAUCAGAAAGCCACGGCUAACUACGUG
rnacentral:rRNA from 1 species